rnacentral:rRNA from 1 species
GAUGAACGCUGGCGGCGUGCCUAAUACAUGCAAGUCGAGCGAACAGACGAGGAGCUUGCUCCUCUGACGUUAGCGGCGGACGGGUGAGUAACACGUGGAUAACCUACCUAUAAGACUGGGAUAACUUCGGGAAACCGGAGCUAAUACCGGAUAAUAUAUUGAACCGCAUGGUUCAAUAGUGAAAGACGGUUUUGCUGUCACUUAUAGAUGGAUCCGCGCCGCAUUAGCUAGUUGGUAAGGUAACGGCUUACCAAGGCGACGAUGCGUAGCCGACCUGAGAGGGUGAUCGGCCACACUGGAACUGAGACACGGUCCAGACUCCUACGGGAGGCAGCAGUAGGGAAUCUUCCGCAAUGGGCGAAAGCCUGACGGAGCAACGCCGCGUGAGUGAUGAAGGUCUUCGGAUCGUAAAACUCUGUUAUUAGGGAAGAACAAAUGUGUAAGUAACUAUGCACGUCUUGACGGUACCUAAUCAGAAAGCCACGGCUAAUUACGUG